UGGCUUAGUGGUUAGAGUAUUCGACUUACGAUCGUAAAGUCGUGAGUUCAAUUCCCAAC
rnacentral:tRNA from 1 species